AAGCUCGUAGUUGAAUUUCGGAAUUUGUCGGUUGGUCGGGCUUCACUGUCCGCACUGGCCUGAUGAAUUCCUACCUUCUGAAUAACCAGCAUGCUAUUAAUUUAGUGCGUUGGGGAAGCAGAGCUAUUACCUUGAAAAAAUUGAGUGCUUAAAGCAGGCUCACGCUUGAAUAGAUUAGCAUGGAAUAAUAAAAUAGGACGGCUUUGGUUUUAUUUUGUUGGUUUCUAGGACAACCGUAAUGAUUAAUAGGGAUAGUUGGG
rnacentral:rRNA from 1 species